GACAGGCGUAGUCGAUGGAUAACCGGUUGAUAUUCCGGUACCCGCUGUGAAGCGUCAAACAUUGAAUCCAGUGAUGCUAAGCCCGUGAAGCCGUUCCGGACCCUUCGGGGAAUGGAAAGUGGUGGAGCCGGUGACCCGAGCUGGUAGUAGGUGAGUGAUGGGGUGACGCAGGAAGGUAGUCCAUCCCGGGCGGUGGUUGUCCCGGGGUAAGGG
rnacentral:rRNA from 1 species